AACGAACGCUGGCGGCAGGCUUAACACAUGCAAGUCGAGCGAAGACUUCGGUCUUAGCGGCGGACGGGUGAGUAACGCGUGGGAACGUGCCUUUCACUACGGAAUAGUCCCGGGAAACUGGGUUUAAUACCGUAUACGCCCUUCGGGGAAAGAAUUUCGGUGAGAGAUCGGCCCGCGUCUGAUUAGGUAGUUGGUGGGGUAAUGGCCUACCAAGCCGACGAUCAGUAGCCGGCUUGAGAGGAUGACCGGCCACACUGGAACUGAGACACGGUCCAGACUCCUACGGGAGGCAGCAGUGGGGAAUAUUGCACAAUGGGCGAAAGCCUGAUGCAGCGACGCCGCGUGAACGAUGAAGGCUUUCGAGUCGUAAAGUUCUGUUCUUGGGGAAGAUAACGACGGUACCCAAGGAGAAAGCACCGGCUAAAUACGUGCCAGCAGCCGCGGUAA
rnacentral:rRNA from 1 species